AUCUUUCCAGGCUGCCUCACAGGUGCAUCAGGUGAGAGCCCCGGGAGAGGCCAGCAGAGGAGGCCUGGAAGCACCCACAGCCACGGUGGAGUGCAAUGGCGCCGUCUCAGCUCACUUCGACCUCCGCCUCCCGGGUUCAAGCAAUUCUCCUGCUUCAGCCUCCCGAGUAGCUGGGAUUACAGCUCUUGCAUCUGUUGCCUGUGUAAGGAAGCUGUAUAUUGUACCUGACACCACAUCGCCCUUCUGACAGCUGUAGUUACCCACAGAAUUCUCAGUUCUGCCUGCAACCCAAGGAGAUGAGCAUCCCUGUCUUCAUUUUACAGAGAUGACAGGAUAAGCCAUGUGCCACACAGCUGGACCCCUAAAUCCAGGAUUCUAGCCCUUGGCCUCCCUGGGCUACAGGGGCUGCAAGGACCAGCGGCAGCAGCAGCAGCACCAGGAACCCUGUUACAAAUGCAGAGUUUCAGGCCCUUACCUACACCUACUACAUCCCGAUCUGCAUUUUAACAAGAACCUGAAUGGAGCUUUGUCAUUUCCACGGCAGAGCCAGCCUCUCCAUGGGCACACAGAACUGCAUACUUCUGUGGACUUGGGGCAAAUCUGCUUUAUCACACUUUUUACAAAAUAGUUAGGGUUCUCACGGUAUUUUGCAAGACUACAAGGUAAGAGCUUAUCUUGGGAUAGGAGGAUCCAUCUCCAUUCUGGGAGGUGCAAAGAAAAUGGGUCUCAGACUUCAAGCUCUGAGCCUCAAAUGCUAGACCUCUUCCUCUGCGUUCCUCUCUCCACCACCAGCAUUUCAUCCCAGACUCUGCUCAACGCAGCUCAGCAACAGAGAAAUGAGAAGGGGACUUGGCUUCAGCAAGAGUGAACUUACUUGGAUGCUCCAGGGAGGCAGGAAGGUGCAGGGGUGGACACUAUGGAUGUGGAAGGUAGGAAUUCUCAGCGUGAUUCCCAUCCUGGAUACCUCCCAGGAGCCAGCCUGGAGGAUGAGGGCAGGGGCAGUAUAGCCCAGGACACAGGUACAGAGGCGGGAAGUCACCAGCACAGCAGGAUGGUCUGUACCACAAGCCAUGGAGGGGUGUGGGUGCCACCUUUGGAGAAGGAAAGAGGUAGCAUCUAUAGGGAGUGUCCUUUAAGCUGAGUGUUGACAAAUGAGAAGGCAGCUUCAGUUCUGCCUCGCUCCAAUGAUAGCAAUCCUUUUGUUUCUGAUUAUAAUACUGGGUACUUGAACUCUACUGACCUACAAUAUGCAGUCUCUGUCAACAGUAAGAGCAUCUGCCCUUGUAGCAGCCUUCAUGUGGAACAAGAUCUCUGACAGACGGCUAGCACAUAUUACUCUUAAUUAUCAUAACUGCCAACAAGGUUGGUAUCAUUACUCCUGUUUUUGGAUGGGAAAUCAAAAGUCCAGAGAGCAUAAGUGUUACUUCCCAGGUCAUCCAGCUGCAAAUGAGAAUGUGUUUGAACUGCCAAGGGUAUUUGUGAAUUUGAGUGUUGAUGUGGGCUCCACGGUCUGUUGAUACUUUUCCAUGCAACCCUCACUUAUCACCACUGGCUGGUGUUUAUUGGGGCUUGCAUAUAUCCGACAGAAGAGGUGGACUAAGUCAGCAUGUGAGCUUUUAAAAAAAUUAGCAUUUAAAUAAAGGAAACAGCAU